rnacentral:rRNA from 2 species
AACCGGGGGAACUGAAACAUCUAAGUACCCCGAGGAAAAGAAAUCAACCGAGAUUCCCCCAGUAGCGGCGAGCGAACGGGGAGCAGCCCAGAGCCUGAAUCAGUGUGUGUGUUAGUGGAAGCGUCUGGAAAGGCGUGCGAUACAGGGUGACAGCCCCGUACACAAAAAUGCACAUAUUGUGAGCUCGAUGAGUAGGGCGGGACACGUGGUAUCCUGUCUGAAUAUGGGGGGACCAUCCUCCAAGGCUAAAUACUCCUGACUGACCGAUAGUGAACCAGUACCGUGAGGGAAAGGCGAAAAGAACCCCGGCGAGGGGAGUGAAAAAGAACCUGAAACCGUGUACGUACAAGCAGUGGGAGCACGCUUAGGCGUGUGACUGCGUACCUUUUGUAUAAUGGGUCAGCGACUUAUAUUCUGUAGCAAGGUUAACCGAAUAGGGGAGCCGAAGGGAAACCGAGUCUUAACUGGGCGUUAAGUUGCAGGGUAUAGACCCGAAACCCGGUGAUCUAGCCAUGGGCAGGUUGAAGGUUGGGUAACACUAACUGGAGGACCGAACCGACUAAUGUUGAAAAAUUAGCGGAUGACUUGUGGCUGGGGGUGAAAGGCCAAUCAAACCGGGAGAUAGCUGGUUCUCCCCGAAAGCUAUUUAGGUAGCGCCUCGUGAAUUCAUCUCCGGGGGUAGAGCACUGUUUCGGCAAGGGGGUCAUCCCGACUUACCAACCCGAUGCAAACUGCGAAUACCGGAGAAUGUUAUCACGGGAGACACACGGCGGGUGCUAACGUCCGUCGUGAAGAGGGAAACAACCCAGACCGCCAGCUAAGGUCCCAAAGUCAUGGUUAAGUGGGAAACGAUGUGGGAAGGCCCAGACAGCCAGGAUGUUGGCUUAGAAGCAGCCAUCAUUUAAAGAAAGCGUAAUAGCUCACUGGUCGAGUCGGCCUGCGCGGAAGAUGUAACGGGGCUAAACCAUGCACCGAAGCUGCGGCAGCGACGCUGAUGCGUUGUUGGGUAGGGGAGCGUUCUGUAAGCCUGUGAAGGUGUGCUGUGAGGUAUGCUGGAGGUAUCAGAAGUGCGAAUGCUGACAUAAGUAACGAUAAAGCGGGUGAAAAGCCCGCUCGCCGGAAGACCAAGGGUUCCUGUCCAACGUUAAUCGGGGCAGGGUGAGUCGACCCCUAAGGCGAGGCCGAAAGGCGUAGUCGAUGGGAAACAGGUUAAUAUUCCUGUACUUGGUGUUACUGCGAAGGGGGGACGGAGAAGGCUAUGUUGGCCGGGCGACGGUUGUCCCGGUUUAAGCGUGUAGGCUGGUUUUCCAGGCAAAUCCGGAAAACUAAGGCUGAGGCGUGAUGACGAGGCACUACGGUGCUGAAGCAACAAAUGCCCUGCUUCCAGGAAAAGCCUCUAAGCAUCAGGUAACAUCAAAUCGUACCCCAAACCGACACAGGUGGUCAGGUAGAGAAUACCAAGGCGCUUGAGAGAACUCGGGUGAAGGAACUAGGCAAAAUGGUGCCGUAACUUCGGGAGAAGGCACGCUGAUAUGUAGGUGAAGUCCCUCGCGGAUGGAGCUGAAAUCAGUCGAAGAUACCAGCUGGCUGCAACUGUUUAUUAAAAACACAGCACUGUGCAAACACGAAAGUGGACGUAUACGGUGUGACGCCUGCCCGGUGCCGGAAGGUUAAUUGAUGGGGUCAGCGCAAGCGAAGCUCUUGAUCGAAGCCCCGGUAAACGGCGGCCGUAACUAUAACGGUCCUAAGGUAGCGAAAUUCCUUGUCGGGUAAGUUCCGACCUGCACGAAUGGCGUAAUGAUGGCCAGGCUGUCUCCACCCGAGACUCAGUGAAAUUGAACUCGCUGUGAAGAUGCAGUGUACCCGCGGCAAGACGGAAAGACCCCGUGAACCUUUACUAUAGCUUGACACUGAACAUUGAGCCUUGAUGUGUAGGAUAGGUGGGAGGCUUUGAAGUGUGGACGCCAGUCUGCAUGGAGCCGACCUUGAAAUACCACCCUUUAAUGUUUGAUGUUCUAACGUUGACCCGUAAUCCGGGUUGCGGACAGUGUCUGGUGGGUAGUUUGACUGGGGCGGUCUCCUCCUAAAGAGUAACGGAGGAGCACGAAGGUUGGCUAAUCCUGGUCGGACAUCAGGAGGUUAGUGCAAUGGCAUAAGCCAGCUUGACUGCGAGCGUGACGGCGCGAGCAGGUGCGAAAGCAGGUCAUAGUGAUCCGGUGGUUCUGAAUGGAAGGGCCAUCGCUCAACGGAUAAAAGGUACUCCGGGGAUAACAGGCUGAUACCGCCCAAGAGUUCAUAUCGACGGCGGUGUUUGGCACCUCGAUGUCGGCUCAUCACAUCCUGGGGCUGAAGUAGGUCCCAAGGGUAUGGCUGUUCGCCAUUUAAAGUGGUACGCGAGCUGGGUUUAGAACGUCGUGAGACAGUUCGGUCCCUAUCUGCCGUGGGCGCUGGAGAACUGAGGGGGGCUGCUCCUAGUACGAGAGGACCGGAGUGGACGCAUCACUGGUGUUCGGGUUGUCAUGCCAAUGGCACUGCCCGGUAGCUAAAUGCGGAAGAGAUAAGUGCUGAAAGCAUCUAAGCACGAAACUUGCCCCGAGAUGAGUUCUCCCUGACUCCUUGAGAGUCCUGAAGGAACGUUGAAGACGACGACGUUGAUAGGCCGGGUGUGUAAGCGCAGCGAUGCGUUGAGCUAACCGGUACUAAUGAACCGUGAGGCUUAACCUUACAACGCCGAAGGUGUUU